ACGUAGUUGAUCCGUGGCUACAGGACGACGCUGGCGGCGUGCCUAACACAUGCAAGUCGAACGAGAAUCAUCUGAACAGCGGCUUCGGCCAACGGGAAGGUGAGGAAAGUGGCGAACGGGUGAGUAACGCGUGAGAAACCUGCCUUUCAGUGGGGGACAACAGUUGGAAACGACUGCUAAUACCGCAUAAUGUAUCGAUAGGGCAUCCUAAUGAUACCAAAGCUUUAUGUGCUGAAAGAUGGUCUCGCGUCUGAUUAGCUAGAUGGCGGGGUAACGGCCCACCAUGGCGACGAUCAGUAGCCGGUCUGAGAGGGUGAUCGGCCACAUUGGGACUGAGACACGGCCCAGACUCCUACGGGAGGCAGCAGUGGGGAAUAUUGCACAAGUGGGGGAAACCCUGACGCAGCAACGCCGCGUGAAGGAAGAAGGCCUUCGGGUUGUAAACUUCUGUCUUCAGGGAAGAAAAAAAUGACGGUACCUGGGGAGGAAGCCACGGCUAACUACGUG
rnacentral:rRNA from 1 species